rnacentral:lncRNA from 10 species
CCAAAUUCAUAGUCCUAAACAUGGAAAGUUUUGUGUACUUCAUUUGGCGGAAAGUCUAACCUGAUUUGGCACGAGACGACCCAUGAUCCUUUUCGUCCUGCUUGUAUUUUGCUGCAGGAAUAUCAGUUUGAUGAGGGUGUUGCCCCAGGCCCCAAGUGGAAUAUGCACACGUCACUUUCCUAAAAUCAGAACAAUUCAGAGUUCUGAAACACACGAAACACAGCUGUUUCUAAGAUUCUUGACUAAGAGGUUGUGGCUUAUGCUAUUUUUCCUGACUGUGGCCUCACUUUCUUCCCAAUAAAUGUUUCAAUCUGUUGAUACUAAUGUUUUUUCUCAUGAUACUUGUAAGAUAACUGAUUUUAACAAAAGGUGGCACACCUAUUAAAGACAUGGUUAAGUUUCAUUGGCUGUAUAGCAUCUCUAAUUGGAAGACUACAUGGCAUCUAUCCAGGUUGGAGUUGUAAUCACCUAGGGAUGUCUACAUCUGUCUACCUAGAUCAGUCUGUCAGUUCCAUCGAGGUCUGUAUUUCAAAGUCCAUACAUAACACACGGUUCUUCCCAUUUUACAGAAUUAUUUUUUCAAACCAAAGUUCACAUACUGCUGGUGGGAACAGGUUCAAAUAGGGAAUGCUGAUACAUAUCAACAACCUUUGAGACAAACCUGUUCACACAGUGAGUGUGGAGCCCUUGGCCCCCCUACUUUCUCUCUCGCAGGCCCCGACAUCACCCUGGGCUUGCGCUGUUGGUAGUGUUCAAAGGAAAACUUUAGAAACAUUAAAUUUUACAGAGUUUAAUUGAGCAAAGAAUGAUUCAGGAAUCAGGGAACCCCUCAAACCAGAAUAGGCUCAGAGAGACUCCAGUGCCACUGUGUGGCCAAAGACUUACGGACAGAAAAGGGAGUGAGGCACAGAAGGCAGAGGUGAGGCCUGCAAACAGCAGGGUGGCUACAGCUCGUGUCUGGCUUAUUGAAACAGAGUUUGAAGUGCUGCUGCCUGUGACUGAUUCAAGAGUAGGUUACAGUGUCCACACAUCCAAUUAGAUGACUGUUCACUACGUAUGGAGAAACCUAUAGGCUAAACUUACAGUAUGUAAGGAGGCGGCUUCAGGCUACAGCUGAGUAGUGUGUCCUUACAGUUGGAACCAGGAGUUCAUGGGAAUUCUUCAUCAUCCAGUGGUCUGUAAAUGUUGCCCAUGCUGAGUAGUCUGUCCUUACAGUGUGAACCAGGGGUUCAUGGGAAUUCUUCACCAUCCAGUAGUCUGUAAAUGUUGCCCAUGCUGAGUAGUGUGUCCUUACAGUGUGAACCAGGGGUUCAUGGGAAUUCUUCACCAUCCAGUGGUCUGUAAAUGUUGCCCAUGCUUUAGUUUUGUUACCUGGUUGCUCUGUUUUUAUGGGAUUGUGAGAAACUGAAAAACUGUGACUGCUGGAGCCAUUUUCCCACAAUCCCCAUUUUUUAAAAAUCCCAUAAAGGCUCUCUCGUGAGCACCGCACGUUUUCCCUUGUAGUCACGAGGGUAGGGGCUGGAGAAAGCAGCAGAGAUAGUCAAAAACCCACAGCUACAAAAAAUGCACUCCUAAGAGCAAGUAAUGGCGAGGGCUAAAAGGCACUGUGCCCCUUCUGGGCCAUUCUAAUUACCACAUUUAAAUGGUUUUGAGAAAAGAGAAUUUUUAUCUGAGGAACGCGAGUUCUUUUAAUUAUCAGGCCGAGAGAGACAUUCAAAUGAGGCGACAAUCGCGCCCUACUACCCCUUGACCUGUGUUCACCUCUUUAAACUGCUACUGGUGGCAACAGCGCCACAAACAGCUAUAAAUUAACCUAAUGACGCCACAAUGGACACUAUACCCACACUCAAUAGCUGAACAACAUAUAGUCAGUCACUAAUCAAUGUUAUUUCUGUAAACCAGUGAGAAUUCCUCACAAACAAGUUCCUAUUAGUCCACUCCCUGGCCCCCUUUUUUGCCUUUAAAAUCCACUGUUAACUGCUAAUCGGAGUACACAUUCAGGGCGCCUUGAAUUUGUGCUCAAGUGUGGCCCAAAUAAACUCUCUACUUAGAGAAACUGUGUCUCCGCUCGUUUUCAGGCCGACAGUUUCCAAAAUGUUAGUAUUCAGCCUAACAUGAGAAAAGUCACCAUAUAAAAGUGAGGGGGGAAAAGCAAAUACAGGAUAAUCUCAAUUGUAUAUAAAAUUUAUAUACGUAAGGACAAAGAUACAUAGUAAAAAAAAAAUUCUGGCAGGUAUUAAGGCUGAAAAAAUUAAAACAGUCCAGAGCGGCUGGUCUCCAACUCCCAGGCUCAGGUGAUCCGCCCGCCACAGCCUCCCGAAGUGCUGAGCCUCCCAAAGUGCUGAGACUACAGGCCUGGCCGCCCGCCCGCCAGCUUAAUUCACGUAAAUUCCAGACAAACGUAGAAAGUGGCUCCUUUAGUAAGCCACUUGCGGCUGCUGCUCAUCAGGGUUCGCCUGGGGCCACUGAGACCACGCGCCGG